AUUGAACGCUGGCGGCAUGCCUAACACAUGCAAGUCGAACGGAAACGAUGCUAGCUUGCUAGCAGGCGUCGAGUGGCAGACGGGUGAGUAAUGUAUAGGGAUCUGCCUAGUAGUGGGGGACAACAUGUGGAAACGCAUGCUAAUACCGCAUACGCUCUACGGAGGAAAGUGGGGGACCUUUCGGGGCCUCAUGCUACUAGAUGAACCUAUAUUGGAUUAGCUUGUUGGUAAGGUAAUGGCUUACCAAGGCGACGAUCCAUAGCUGGUUUGAGAGAAUGAUCAGCCACACUGGGACUGAGACACGGCCCAGACUCCUACGGGAGGCAGCAGUGGGGAAUAUUGCACAAUGGACGAAAGUCUGAUGCAGCAAUGCCGCGUGUGUGAAGAAGGCCUUAGGGUUGUAAAGCACUUUCAGACGUGAGGAAAAGUAAUAAUUUAAUAAAUUAUUACCUUGACGUUAACGUCAGAAGAAGGACCGGCUAACUCCGUGCCAGCAGCCGCGGUAAUACGGAGGGUCCAAGCGUUAAUCGGAAUUACUGGGCGUAAAGCGCGCGUAGGCGGAUAUUUAAGUCAGAUGUGAAAUCCCUGGGCUCAACCUAGGAACUGCAUUUGAUACUGGAUAUCUAGAGUAUGGUAGAGGUGAGUGGAAUUUCAGGUGUAGCGGUGAAAUGCGUAGAGAUCUGAAGGAACAUCAGUGGCGAAGGCGACUCACUGGGCCAUUACUGACGCUGAGGUGCGAAAGCGUGGGUAGCAAACAGGAUUAGAUACCCUGGUAGUCCACGCCCUAAACGAUGUCAACUAUGUGUAUGGGAGUUUAACUCCUGUGUAUCGAAGCUAACGCGAU
rnacentral:rRNA from 1 species